rnacentral:rRNA from 1 species
AUUGAACGCUGGCGGCAUGCUUUACACAUGCAAGUCGAACGGCAGCGCGGGCUUCGGCCUGGCGGCGAGUGGCGAACGGGUGAGUAAUGCAUCGGAACGUGCCCAGUAGUGGGGGAUAGGCCGGCGAAAGCCGGAUUAAUACCGCAUACGACCUGAGGGUGAAAGCGGGGGACCGAAAGGCCUCGCGCUAUUGGAGCGGCCGAUGUCGGAUUAGCUUGUUGGUGGGGUAAAGGCUUACCAAGGCGACGAUCCGUAGCUGGUCUGAGAGGACGACCAGCCACACUGGGACUGAGACACGGCCCAGACUCCUACGGGAGGCAGCAGUGGGGAAUUUUGGACAAUGGGGGCAACCCUGAUCCAGCCAUGCCGCGUGCGGGAAGAAGGCCUUCGGGUUGUAAACCGCUUUUGUUCGGGAAGAAAUCCUCUGGGCUAAUACCCCGGGGGGAUGACGGUACCGGAAGAAUAAGCACCGGCUAACUACGUG